rnacentral:rRNA from 1 species
CGAGCGAGAAGCCCGCAAGGGUGAGUAAAGCGGCGCACGGGUGAGUAACACGUGGGUAAUCUUCCUUGGAGCCCGGAAUAACUCCCCGAAAGGGGUGCUAAUGCCGGAUGAGACCACGGGAUCUCCGGAUCCUGAGGGAAAAGGCGGCCUCUGUACACAAGCUGUCACUCCAAGAUGAGCCCGCGGCCCAUCAGCUAGUUGGCGGGGUAAUGGCCCACCAAGGCAUCGACGGGUAGCUGGUCUGAGAGGACGAUCAGCCACACUGGAACUGAGACACGGUCCAGACUCCUACGGGAGGCAGCAGUGGGGAAUUUUGCGCAAUGGGCGAAAGCCUGACGCAGCAACGCCGCGUGUGUGAUGAAGGUCUUCGGAUCGUAAAGCACUGUCGGGAGGGACGAAUAAGGCGGCGGCUAAUAUCCGCAGCCGAUGACGGUACCUCCAAAGGAAGCACCGGCUAACUCUGUGCCAGCAGCCGCGGUAAUACAGAGGGUGCAAGCGUUGUUCGGAAUUAUUGGGCGUAAAGCGCGUGUAGGCGGCCUUGCAAGUUGGGUGUGAAAGCCCUCGGCUUAACCGAGGAAGUGCGCCCAAAACUACAGGGCUUGAGUACCGGAGAGGGUGGCGGAAUUCCCGGUGUAGAGGUGAAAUUCGUAGAUAUCGGGAGGAACACCAGUGGCGAAGGCGGCCACCUGGACGGAUACUGACGCUGAGACGCGAAAGCGUGGGUAGCAAACAGGAUUAGAUACCCUGGUAGUCCACGCUGUAAACG